rnacentral:lncRNA from 1 species
CGCAGCUUCAUUUCAAUCUCAUUUCAUUUCUGCAAAGCUUCAUGGACGGCUAGACAGCAAGAGACAACCGAGGCUUCACCAUUUCUUUCUUCCAAAACUCAUCCAAAUCCUUACCAAAACUUCCAUAGAUUCUUACCAAUCUCCACAUUCAUUUAGCUUUUCACUUGGACGGCAACUUAGCUGCAAAAGGAAGGAGCUAUCCACGGUUUCUUCAAGCUUCAAAGGGGCCGAAAAAUCUGUCCAAACCAGUCAUCAAAGUAGGUACUAAUCAAGCACCUUGAACUUGUCUUAUGGAAGUUGAUCUAUGCAUUUGAGUUGGAAUCUUCACUAUAGUAGCUUGUAUUGUUGGAAACGUGGGCUCUAUGAACUCCCACUUUGGGUUGAUGGCUGUGAUGAUGUUUGAUGAUGGUUUUAUUGCUGAAUUAGAGCUUAAGGAAGUAGAUUAAAGGUGUAUUGUGGACAGAAACGUUGUUGAACUCUUGAAGUAAAAAGUUCCCAUUUUACCCCUGUUCUGUUCGGUCAUUUUAAUGCAGAAACUGAGGAUUUAAUGGCCUGAUUAUGUUGAUUACAUGUUGCAAAAGUUGUGUACAAAAUUUCGUUGGAAAAUAUUGAGUUGUGGUUGAUCAAACGAAUUUAUUUCAAAAACUAGUAAUCUGGAAAACGGUUUCGCCGUAAUCCAGACCAGUGUUUGUAUUUCGUCCAUAACUCCGUACUCCGACUUCGAAAUCAAGUGCCGUUAGCGGCAUUUGAAACUAGACGUUCCCAUGUUUCCAACGGUGUAUAAUGGACCUUCUGGUUUCGUGUGUGUGAGCCACACCAUUCAUCUGAAGUCGACUGUCCUGUUUCUCCGUUCUGCCGAAAUGAUUUGAUGAUGCUGCAACUUUAGGCUUGAUUUUGAACCAGUUGCAUGCUGAAACUUAAAACGAUUUCUUCUGUGAAGUUGUAGCCCUAUGAAUCUAUUUUCUAACACUAUCAACCAUUUCCAAUUCCGAGUUAAAUUGAGGGAGUUAUGAUCAAUACACGGCAACUGCCUCGUUUUUGAAAACCUUAGUUUUGGACCGGCUCAAUCCUGGUAAUCUAGAACAGCAACUUUAGGCUCAUUUUUGAAUACCAUCCACUUAGAUUCAUGGAAUGAUGUCUUCUAAGGACUUUUAGUACUUUUGAAGACGAUUCCAACGGUACCAAAUUCAUCAAGUUUCGAUUAGUAGAAAGAAAGUUAUGAUUUUUCAAAGAUUUGACCAAAAAUCAAAAAUUCUGGAAUUCCAGAGGAAAUCCGCGAAGGAACAAUUUUACCAGAAUCCGGCCUUGAAUCCGGCCAGUUUCUGGACGGAUUGUCGGCCGGAUUGGUGGUCAAAUUUGAAAAAAAGGGAGGUUACCCACGGCCAGAAAUCCGGCCGGAUAUCCGGCCGGAUUGUGACGUGGCCAACCCUCCUUCGAUUUCGAUCGUUCGUUUUGCAAUCCUUUCGCUCGUACUCAAUUCCAACCAAUGAUUUUAAGGAUAAUAAUCCGAUUUUCACUUAAGUCCUACACCCUUUUGAGAAUCCAACUUAAUAAACAAGUCAAACGAAGUUUUCAAAUAUUUCCGAACCUUACCCGUGCCCAAUCUUUCUCACCACUUGGGGACCUAUAAUAAUUGUCUACUAUUCGAUGUUCAGGCACGCACGAGGACCUCCAAGAGGAUCCUACCGUGGAAGUUUGAACUCUCCCUCCAACCUACUUACUUGCAUAACUGGUGAGUGUCAAGUGUAUGCCUACUUGAACUCUAAAGUCUUGAUUCAUGAUUGACUUACCUGAUUAUAUGCUCGGUCUAUUGGAUUUUGAAAAAUGGAGUCGAGUGUGUACUUAAUCGCACUCGUUCUCAUUUGGAACAAAUGACUCAUGUUUGACAUGCUUUGCAUGGUUUAUAUGACCUGAAAUACAUGUUUGAACCUGUCAAAUGCUUGAAUUUAUGAAAUGGUAUGCUAUGAUUGCAUACGUCGAUGGAGUGAAUCUCCUCGACAUUUACAUGAUACACGGGGGACGCCCAAACUCAUAGGCCGACCUUGGAACUCGAGCCGGCAUGGGCCUGGUCGGGAACCUUGGUGAGCCAUGAGAAUUACAUGAUAAGCUUGAUCUAUUUGAGAGAUCUCGCUUGGCAUACUCGUGAAGUAUCGCCUUAUAAGUGUCGUGCGGGCCCGAAGUGGUGUAUGGUGGACGGAUGAGAAGUAAGUGGUGAACUACGGAUAUGAAAAUAUCAACCUGGUUGACGGAGAGUCAUCACGGGGAGAUAUACAAAUGACAUCGGCAAAUGUGGAACUUAACUCCUGAGAGCUUCCAUAUCCUUGAAUUGUUUCUGGUUACAUUUUGUCGGCGUUAUUACUUACUUGCAAGUGAUUACCUGAAUUGUUAUUUGGGGCUUGUUAUUUGAAUUAUGUGUCUGCAUGUGUGUUCUUGGCCUCACGAGCGUUUUUGCUCACCCUGUAGAUUUGUUUUCCUUAACAGGUUUGAACUCGGAGGUAAAAUGGAGAAGCCCUCUGAUGUACUUUUGUUUAGGGCUUGUUAUUACUUUUGGUUAUGCCUUUGGUUUUGAAAUUUUACUUUUGGUAUGGAAAUGUAACCCUUGGACGAAAUGAAAUCUGUAUUCUGACGUGUGGUUUGGUGAAUGGAUGACUAUUAUUAGGUUUGAA